CGUGCAGGCGGUCAUGUAAGUCGAGCGUGAAAGCUCCCGGCUCAACCGGGAGAGGACGUGCGAAACUGCGUGACUGGAGGCAGGUAGAGGCGUACGGAAUUCCGGGUGUAGUGGUGAAAUGCGUAGAUAUCCGGAGGAACACCAGUGGCGAAGGCGGUACGCUGGGCCUGACCUGACGCUAAGACGCGAAAGCAUGGGGAGCGAACG
rnacentral:rRNA from 1 species